rnacentral:rRNA from 1 species
UACGUAGGUGGCGAGCGUUGUCCGGAUUUACUGGGCGUAAAGAGCGCGCAGGCGGUCGUCCAAGUCGCGUGUGAAAGCCCCCGGCUCAACUGGGGAGGGUCACGCGAUACUGAUCGACUCGAAGGCAGGAGAGGGAAGCGGAAUUCCCGGUGUAGUGGUGAAAUGCGUAGAUAUCGGAAGGAACACCAGUGGCGAAGGCGGCUUCCUGGCCUGUUCUUGACGCUGAGGCGCGAAAGCUAGGGUAGCAAACGGG